rnacentral:rRNA from 1 species
AUGAUCCGCCGUCGCGCCACUCCAGCGUCGCCGAUAACGGUGCACCCGCUGGAUGAUAAAUACCUACUAGAGGAGAUCCUCCUCCGCCUACCACCGCAACCCUCCGGUCUUCCGCGUGCCUCCCUUGUUUGCACACGCUGGCGCAACAUUAUCUUAGAUCCUGACUUCCUCCGAUGCUUCCGUAGACACCACAAGAAACCUCCUCUACUUGGCUUCUUUGCUGGGUAUUACGGCUCGUGUGCGGUUUUCAUCCCUUCUCUAGACGCACCCGACCGCAUCCCUUGCACGCGCUUCCCGUUGCAGCAGAACCGCCGAUAUGAUCAGCUCAACGUUCAUGGCUGCCACCACGGCCUUGUCAUCCUCCUCGACCUAUAUAACCGAGAGGCCAUGGUAUGGGAUCCUCUCACUGGCCGUGAUCAUCCCGUGCCCUUUCCACCAGGGUUCCGUAGUCAUACGAUUGGUUUUGUCAAGACUGCAGUUGUGUUGUGUGCUGCCAUUGAAGAUGGACAUGUGCACGGUGACUGCAGUCUAAGCCCGUUUAAGGUGGCUUUUGUGGGCAAUGAUGUUGAUUACAAACAUGCAAUUUGUAGUCUGUACGAGUCACAGUCCGGUGUAUGUGGAAAUAUGAUCUCAAUGGCAAAUACAGGUGAGAUCUGUGAUGACCCCGGCCUUAUAGCUGGCAAUUCAGUUUAUUGGCUGCUUAAUGAGGGUGGUAUCCUUGAGUUGGAUAUGGGAAGGCAAAGCCUUGGUGUGAUUGAGAUUCCAACCAAUGUCCAUUUCACAGGCCCCCACUUUUUUCAGAUUAUAUGGACAAAGGAUAGUUGCCUCGGUCUUGCGAUUUUGUCGAAGACCAAUAUGCGCAUGCAAUUGUGGGAGAGGAAAUCGAAGAAUGAUGGUGUUGUCAGAUGGGGACUGCAGAAAACAAUUCAACUAGACCAGCUCCUUCCGCCAGUAUCACCAAAGGAGAGAAAAAGGAUGUGUAUAAUUGGGUAUGAUAGCGUCAGUAACACGAUCGUUUUAUGGACAACUAUAGGUGCCUCAGUGAUACAACUUGAAACGUUGGAGUUGAGAAAUAUUCCUAUAAGAGAGGGUGGAACAUAUUAUCCCUACACAAACUUCUAUACCGCAGGGCUACAGGAGGCGUCGCGCAACCAGAAGGGAGAGCUUUGCUUGCGGAAAGGGUGCGAGCAGCACGAUCCUGAGCUCUACUUUGAAUAA